UACGGAGGGUGCAAGCGUUAUCCGGAUUUAUUGGGUUUAAAGGGUCCGCAGGCGGACUAUUAAGUCAGUGGUGAAAGCCCACAGCUCAACUGUGGAAUUGCCAUUGAUACUGGUAGUCUUGAGUGCGUAUGAAGUUGGCGGAAUGUGUGGUGUAGCGGUGAAAUGCUUAGAUAUCACACAGAACACCGAUUGCGAAGGCAGCUGACUAAUACGUUACUGACGCUCAGGGACGAAAGUGUGGGGAUCAAAC
rnacentral:rRNA from 1 species